UGGAAGACUUGAUGAAGAAGAAGCAAAAGCCAAAACCAAGAAAAAGAGAGCCUUCAAAUUUGAGGUAGAAAAGAGCAAGAACGAAAUGAAAGAUGAAGACUUAGAAGAUGAAGAAAAUUUGAGACUCAUGAUAAAAAAACUCAACAUGUUCAUGAAAUCAAAAGACAUAGGAAGAUUAAAAUUCGAAAAGAAAGAAUAUCAAGG
rnacentral:lncRNA from 1 species